GGAAGAUACCUCAAAAUUAUGAAAGCCAUAUGUGACAAAUUCCACAGUCAACAUCAUACUCAGUUGGGAAAAGUUGAAAGUAUUCCCCCUUAAAAACUGGAAAGAGACAAAGAUGCCAACUUUCACCACUCUUAUUCAAUAUAAUACUGGAAGUUCUAGCAAGAGCAAUCAGGCAAGAGAAAGAAAUAAAAAGCAUCCAAAUUGGGAAAUAAGAAAUUAUCUCUGCUCACUGAUGAUAUGAUUUUACAUCUAUAAAGCCCUGAAGACCCACCAAAAAUCCUAAACAAAUCAAACAAAGUUGUAGGCAUCCCAUUCCUGACCUCAAAUUAUACUAUAAGGCUAUAGUAACCAAAAUAUUGUGGUACUAGUAUAAAAGUAGAUCAAUAGAAAAAAUAGAAAACCCAGAAAUAAAGUCACAUAUCUACAACCAACUGAUCUUUGACAAAAUCAGCAAAAACAUACACUGGCAAAAGUACAUCUUUUUCAGUAAAUUGUGCUGGAAAAAUUAGAUUGCUCUAUUGAGAAGAAUGAAGCUGAACCUUUAUUUUUCACCAUUAAAAUAAUCAACUCAAAAUGGAUUAAAUGCUUCAAUUUAAGACCUGAAACUAUAAAAAUAUUAGAAGAAAACCUAAGGGAAACUAUUCUGGACAUUGGUCUAAGCAAAUAAUUCAUGACUAAGACCUCAAAAGCAUGCGCAACAAAAAUAAAAAUAGACAAAUGGGACUUAGUCUUCUGUACAGCAAAAGAAAUAAUCGACAAAGUAAACAGACAACCUGAAAAAUGAGAGAAAAUAAUUACAAACUAUGCAUCCAACAGGGGAAUAAUAUUCAGAAUUUAAAAAGAACUCAAACAAGACAAGACAAAACAAAACCCAGAAAUAACCACAAUAAAAAGUGUGCAAAUGACAUGAUUGAUUACUUUUCAAAAGAAGACAUGCAAAUGGCUGACCAAGCAUAUAAAAAAUUCUCAACAUCACAAAUAUUCAUUUUUAAGAAAUGUUCUGGUUUGCUUGGAGGCUGAUGGUCUCAGAACCAUACUUGAGAAUCAUAGUCCCAUUGAGUGCAACAAUAAGGCCUUGUAGUCCAUGGUAGGAAUUCUGGACAUAAUCCUGUGGGUUUGCGGAAUCACCAGAGAAUUAGCAAAGGAAUGACAAAGUCAGAUUCUGGUAGCAGAAUGGGAAAAGGAUGUAUUGGCAGGAGGAAAAUUGGCUGCAAAGAGAUGAAGACCCUGGGACUUAGGAAGCUAAAGUGUCCGGCCCAAGGUCAUGAAUAUAUACCAUGCUGGGACUGGGACCAAAGCACUGAAAAUCAGAACACGUGAGUUAUUUCUGCAAAACUGACCAGCCUACCAAGGACCAACAGAAAUCUGCUAGCCUAUAUUCACUUCACUUUUCAUUCCUCCUGAUAUAGCAGCAUCUUUCCACCGUGGAGGUGCAAUACCACAGUUUUUGGCCUGAGGGUAUCUCAGAGUGAGAACACAAUGGAGCAGAGGGAUGUUCAGCCAAAUCCUCUUUUUCACCUCGUGUACAAGGAAUAUGCAUCUCCAAGGUGCAAGGAACAGAACAUGGAAGCUGAACAGUGGAAACCACUUUUUUCUUUGUACCCAUAUUGGCAGUGGGGUCUAACAACCAUAACAACAAAAAUAACAGGGGAAUCUAGGAAAGCAGAUGUCUUGAUUCUUAAAGAAAAUAAAGGUGGCAAUUAAAUACUGACAAGAAAAAUAAUAAAAAUAAGAAGAAAGAAAAGAACAGAGAAGGAAAGACCGCCUCCUCCCUCAACUGUAUACAGCGAUCCUGAC
rnacentral:lncRNA from 1 species